CCGGUUUGGAAAGCAGCCGGCGGCGUCGCCGCAAAGCCAAGCGACGCCUCUGCGCCCCAGACACAGUCCGCAGAGCGGCGUCCUCGUCGGUCCCUGGCCCUCGAACAUUCUCCGCCGCCCCGGCCUGAGCCAGGGACCGCCGAGGUUCUCCACAGGCCGAGCUAACUUCCCACCCCAGGAACAGAGCUCGCUCUGCUGCCCCCGGUGGCGGCCGGCCGCCACCUUACCCUCGGCUUCUUCGACAAUCGGCGACGGCCGGUUGAGAACUACAUUUCCCAUCAGGCCCUUCUCAACACCGCGAUCGUGCCCGCGAGACUCGGGUGGGAAGACCGCGCGCAGGCGCAGCCUCGCCCUUUCCGAGCUCGGCCGCCGCGUGUGCGGGAGUCAUGGCCGCGAGGCUCCGUCGUGCGCCCACGGGCAGGGCUGGGCCUUGGGUGUCGGUAAGCUGCGGGGGAGGGGACGUGAGGGCCGACGUGCCCGGUGCCCCCUCCUCUCUGCUUUGCUCCUGAAGGCGCUGGAAGGCCCGGGGUUCUGUGUUGGAAAGACGGCGUUUUCCAGGCUGCACAAGUUUUACGUGACAGCGGCCGAAGCCCGUUUAGGCUCCGCGCUCCCGGCUUGUUUGGGGGGCGGGUGGUGUUCCUUUGCUUAAAGAUGCGCGCUGUGGAACAUGAACCAGGAGAUGGAUUAACCGUGGAGUUUAUUACAGCGGGGUGGGGGCGGGCGAGCGAGCAGGGGUCUGUCUGUCAAAGACUCGGUUCCGUGGAACCAGGCACUGCCUGAGUGAUUGUGCCGGGUCACAGGGCCAGGCCAGCACAAUGCCUGGACCUUUCAGGGGGGAUCCUCGCAGGCUGCCCAGCCCCCUGGGCCUCACAGCCAGCCAUGCACGGAGCAUGCGGCCCUGGGGUCUCCCUCGAGGCUGGUGGUCCCUCAUUCCUGAGCCUCGACGCCCGAAUGGGUCUGCUGCCCGCAGGUGGUGACCGCAGGCCGUGAGAAAGGGGAUUGCCAACUGGAAAUCCGUAGUUUUGCAAAUGGCAUGUCUUUCCUUCCUCGAAGGCGUGCCCCUGGCAAAGCAUCAGGUUAAUGGCAGGAUCCCCAGGCGUAAAGGGACCCGCGUGGCCGCCCAGUGAGAAGGCGGAGAAGGACGGCGGGCAUCUGCGUGCACUGUUCUCAGGUUCCCCAAUGAGCGAGCGUUGAGCCAUGAGUCCCUUUCGAUUGGAGUUGGCUCCUGGAGACACCAUGAGAUGCUGUGUGUGGUAAGCACUUCUCCAUAGAGUGGCAGGGGUUGGGGUUGCCUGGAAGGAUCGGUCUGGGGUUGCAGGGAUGUGAUUGCUCGGGGAAGGGAAGAAACAUGGAACCAUUCCUCUCUGCUCUUCACUUACUGCCUUCAUAGACUGUAUUUAAGGUGUGAGAAUACAAGUGUUCCCCACUCUGCUGCCACAUAGACUGAGGCUUAGGGGUUUCUGCUCAAAGCUACAUGAGCACUGGCUUCCAGGGGACAUCAGUUGAUGCUGGGUGACUGUCCUUCAAGGCACAGGGCAGCCAUUUUAAACUUAAACAUACCCAACAUGUCAAUAGAGCUGAGGUUAAGAAACCUUAUCACUCAGGAUGACUUGGACUGAGUUUGUUCUCUCCUUUACAUACUGAGCCAAAAUUGCAUUUUAGAUUAAAGGUUUUGGCCAGCUAGCUGAUAGUGGCACAGAGCCUUGUGUUUUUUGUAAAGCAAAAUUAGUGGUUUCCAAUCCGGGAUUUAUCCCCCAACACCUAAAAGCAUUCCCUGGGUCCACCUCUGCCAGUGGAUAAGACUGGUUUUAGAAUGGGAUCAACAACAACCUUGUGGGAGGUCUGAGCAGGCGGACAGAGAGAGUUCAAUGAUCUGCUUAGGGAUUCUCCUAGAGCAGGCUAUUUUUAAGAAGCUCUUGGGGUAGAUUUCUAAUGUCUAAAUGGAAAAAUCUCAGGCUUGCUCUUGUAUAUGUAGAUGGACAAGGAGAAACUGUAUGAUGCUGUCUCGGUAGCAGGUGUGAUAGGUGGUUGUCUGUCAAUGGGCCAGCUGAGGUAGUGGGUUACCUAAACCAUUUCAGGCGUUCCCGUGACAGGCUGGAAGAACUUGUCAAAGACUCUGGCUCAGCGAUAAGACAGAUGCUGCUGGGAGUGACCCUCUUCCACCCUGAGGUCUUACCAUGUAUCCUGUGUGGGCCUUGAAUUUUCUGUGUAGCACAGGUUGGGUUCAAACUCACAGUUCUUGCCUUGGCUUUCUUGAUGUUCAUGAUCCUGUCUUUGAGAGGACCGGAGUGUCUGGGAAAUGGCUCAGUGGCUAAGAACAGCUGCUGAGGACCUGGGUUCAUUUCCCAGCACUUACUUCAGGCAGCCAGCUGCCUAUAACUCCACGUCUAGGGGGAAUCCAAUACCCUCUUGAGGUCUCUACAGGCACUAGGCACACACGGUGCACAUAUGUUCAUGUAGUCAAAACACACACACACACACACACACACAUGAAAUUGCCUUUUUAAAAAAGCUUUUAGAGUUCUUGAGCAAAGGCCGGCAGUCCCGUGGGAGCUGAGUGCAUGAUGAUGUAAAGUUAUCCCUGUCUGAAGGGCAAGAGGCCUUUCUGUGUGGAGCGUGGAUAUCUGAAACUCGGCUUCUCGGGCUUGACCAGCAACUCUGGACAUGGUUCUUCAGUGAGCUGCUUUACCUUGUGUGUUUCCUCAUCACCAGGUGCAGGCCAAGUCUGGGGCAGAAAGGGAUGCUGUGGCAGCCUGCAGGUUACUGCCCUAAAGUGCCCUGCUGCUGCUGACUUUAAUCUCCCAGAGAGAAUGUCAUCAAAGGACCUUGGAGUUUGAUCUGCAGAAGUAGCCAAGAAGUCAAGUGACUCUGUCAUCCUGGGAAGCCUCUGGCAGCUAGCAGUUGGAGGCACUGGGGAGGCAGGUGCUGCGCCUAGAAAAGCAUUUCUCAGUGGAUUUCCUGGGAAGUUCAUGUUGGGCUUUGUGAUUUGAAGCACAAAUAAACCUUAUUAGAUUUAACUCACUAACAUUGUGGAUGUGAGAUUGAGGCUUUUCUAACACUGA
rnacentral:lncRNA from 1 species